AGUUAACAUUUAAAGGUACUCUCUUUCUCUAUUCGUCUAUUUUGUAUUCAUGAUCCUUGCAAAUAUUUGUGAUCUUUGCAUGUUAGAGACAAAAAUUACAACUCAAUAUUCACGUGUACAGCCGCAUCGUAACCGCACCACAACCGCAUCAGACAUUUUCGACGAUGUUGGUUCAAAUUUUCUCACAAAAAAAUAAAAUUUAUGACCUUUAAAUCAUAUAGUGUUUAUGAAUGUGUAUUUUAAGCACAUUCAAAUUAGUGUUUAUGGAAUAAACUAAGACUAUGCAAUGAUGAAUAAAUAAUAUAGUUACAUAGUAGUUUCCUUUUA